UACAGAGGUCUCAAGCGUUGUUCGGAUUCACUGGGCGUAAAGGGUGCGUAGGUGGUGGGGUAAGUCCGAUGUGAAAGCUCCGAGCUCAACUCGGAAAUGGCAUUAGAAACUACCUUGCUAGAGGGUUGGAGGGGGGACUGGAAUUCUCGGUGUAGCAGUGAAAUGCGUAGAUAUCGAGAGGAACACCAGUGGCGAAGGCGAGUCCCUGGACAACUCCUGACACUGAGGCACGAAAGCUAGGGGAGCAAACAGG
rnacentral:rRNA from 1 species